ACGAGACGAAGGCGACGAAGAGCGCGAGCGGCGUCAUGAUGAGCGCCGCCGUGAGCACGAUGGAGCUGGCGUCCGGGCCGAAGAUGAGCCGGCCGCCGCAGAGGAAUCUCUGCACGCGACACGGCCGGCAAAUGACUAACUUGGUAGACGCGGUGGGUGGCGACGGCGGCCGACGACGACGAGGCGCUGGAGGUGUCGGAGAGGUAGCUGCGGGGGAGAGGGCUCUUGAACAGCGACCUCCCCUUCAUGGUCUCCGCCGCCGGCCGGUCCGGUGAUCGCCGCGCGCCGCGUGCGUCGUCGUCACCUCACCCGCAUGGGCCGGCCCUGCCCCAGGAGCGGCCGGAACGACGGAGGCGGUGGGAGAGGAGGCAGGAGGGGGAGCUGCUCUCCUCGUUUUCCCGUUUCAGACAUCGCCGGGCUAUCCAUAGGAGGGAGGUGCUAUAGCGCGUCGUGCUUGUUAUCGGGGUGUGCAAAGAAUGGAUCGGAGGAGGGGAAUCGCCUUGGCUAAACAUAGCACGCCGCAUCUCUCUCUCUCUCUCACACACACACACACACACAGCUCCGGCGGAACACACAGUAUAGUACACAGAUAUCUCGAUCGAUCGAUCAUAUCUGCCUGGAUCGGAGAAGAAUAAUCGAUCUCAUGAAAAAGUAGUACUGUAUGAGGAAGAAAGGGUGAUGCAUGUUUGAGAGUCACCCUUUGAACCAUGGAUUGUUUGAGAGUCAAAUUAGAGGAAAUUUCAUUCGGAUUUUCCAAA